rnacentral:rRNA from 1 species
GGCAAGUCGCACGAGAACGUUCUGGCUUUGCCAGGACAAGUACAGUGGCGGACGGGUGCGUAACGCGUAGAUAACCUGCCCUCAGGCGCGGGACAACCACGGGAAACCGUGGCUAAUACCGCACGACGUCUGGACCCCGCAUGGGGACCAGAUGAAAGCCUUCGGGCGCCUUUGGAUGGGUCUGCGUCGGAUUAGCUUGUUGGUGAGGUAACGGCUCACCAAGGUAACGAUCCGUAGCUGGUCUGAGAGGACGAUCAGUCACACUGGGACUGAGACACGGCCCAGACUCCUACGGGAGGCAGCAGUGGGGAAUCUUGCACAAUGGGGGAAACCCUGAUGCAGCCAUGCCGCGUGGAGGAAGACACCCCUAUGGGGCGUAAACUCCUUUUCUGAGAGAAGAAACCUCUGUAGUUUCAGAGUGUGACGGUAUCUCAGGAAUAAGCACCGGCUAACUCCGUGCCAGCAGCCGCGGUAAUACGGAGGGUGCAAGCGUUGUCCGGAAUCACUGGGCGUAAAGGGUGCGCAGGCGGGGCAGCAAGUCGGAGGUGAAAGCCCGUGGCUCAACCAUGGAAGUGCCUUCGAAACUGUUGCUCUUGAGUCCCGGAGAGGUUGUCGGAAUUCGUGGUGUAGCGGUGAAAUGCGUAGAUAUCACGAGGAACACCAGAGGCGAAAGCGGACAACUGGACGGGUACUGACGCUCAGGCACGAAAGCGUGGGG